rnacentral:rRNA from 1 species
GAUGAACGCUGGCGGCGUGCCUAACACAUGCAAGUCGAACGGAGUCCAGCCUUAGAGAUCCUCGGGUCAAAGAGGGGAAGACUGAGUGUCGGACGGGUGAGUAACACGUGGGCAACCUGGCCCAUAGAGGGGGAUAACAGAGAGAAAUUUCUGCUAAUACCGCAUACGCACACACUGCCGCAUGGCAGCGUGUGAAAAGUGUAUCGGUAUGAGAUGGAGCCGCGACUGAUUAGACAGGUGGCAGGGUAAGAGCCUACCAAAGCGACGAUCAGUAGCCGAUUCGAGAGGAUGAACGGACACACUGGGACUGGGAGCCGUACGGAACUCCUACGGAAGGAAGAAGUGGGGGAUAUUGCACGAUGGGGGGAACCAUGAUGUAGCGACGCCGCGUGAGUGAAGAAGUAGUUAGGUAUGUAAAGCUCUAUCAGCAGGGAAGAUAAUGACAGUACCUGAAUAAGAAGCCCCGGCUAACUACGUG